rnacentral:rRNA from 1 species
GACGAACCGUGCGAACGUUGUUCGGAAUCACUGGGCUUAAAGGGCGCGUAGGCGGUCGUGACAAGUCACUUGUGAAAUCUCCGGGCUUAACUCGGAACGGUCAAGUGAUACUGUCGGACUAGAGUACAGAAGGGGCAACUGGAAUUCUCGGUGUAGCGGUGAAAUGCGUAGAUAUCAGGAAGAACACCCGUGGCGAAAGCGGCUCUCUGGAACGGUAACUGACGGCUGGAGACGGCGAAAGCGUGGGGAGCGAACGGG